rnacentral:snRNA from 1 species
UCGAAUUGUGGGUUCAACUUUA